rnacentral:rRNA from 1 species
AUGUAUUCGACUCUUGCACAGGCAAGGGAAAACCAGCUGUCGAGGCAGGCCAACAACCUGUUUGAUGAAUUUAAUGUCAAUGUUGCACCCUUCAAUCGGGUUGACCUAGAGGACUACCUGAAGCAAAUCAAAAAUCACCGCAAGUCUGGCACGACGGCGACCUGGUGCCAGACGCCGCCCACCAACAGCAGCUCCUGCCUGCACGGCGACCUCGCCGCCCUGCACCGCUCCGUCGCCUCCCUGCACGAUCGCCGUCGCCGAUUUUUGCCGCUCAUAGUGUGGCAUCCGUCCUGCGAGAUCCCCGGUGCCCAGGAGAUAGAUCCUACCCAGGGACCAGCUGUGUCGCCGCGCACGCGCCCCGGCCUACACCCGCGCCUGCUGCGUCCCCUGAACCAGCCGGCCACAUGCAGCUAUGAUUCUUCCUUCCACUUCUUCAGGUUCGACUUCUUCCUAGCAUGGCGGCGGCUUAGGGGCCUGGAUUUGGCCAUAGUCUGGAGGGACGCCAUAGAUUGGAUUUCGAAGCUGAUUAAAUCUGCAAAUUCAUUGCCGUUGACUGCGGGCUUGUCUGUCAACUACCUUGAUAGGUUCCUCUCCGUCUAUCCCCUUCUUGGAAGUCUAUCAUCUGAGUAG